AGAGUUUGAUCAUGGCUCAGAACGAACGCUGGCGGCGUGGAUAAGACAUGCAAGUCGAACGCUGACUAUUAGAUAGCAAUAUUUGGUAGUUGGAGUGGCGCAAGGGUGCGUAACACGUGGGUAAUUUGCCGUAAAGCCUGGGAUAACUUGCUGAAAGGCGAGCUAAUACCGGAUGUGAUGUUUGGGAGGCAUCUUUUGAACAUUAAAGUUGGGGACCGUAAGGCCUGACGCUUUUCGAUAAGCCCGCGGCCUAUCAGCUAGUUGGUAAGGUAACGGCUUACCAAGGCUAAGACGGGUAGCUGGUCUGAGAGGACGACCAGUCACACUGGAACUGAGACACGGUCCAGACACCUACGGGUGGCAGCAGUCGAGAAUUUUUCUCAAUGGGCGAAAGCCUGAAGGAGCGACGCCGCGUGGGGGAUGAAUGGCUUCGGCCCGUAAACCCCUGUCAUUUGCGAACAAACCUCGUUAUUUAAAAGAUGACGAGCUGAUUGUAGCGGAAGAGGAAGGGACGGCUAACUCUGUGCCAGCAGCCGCGGUAAUACAGAGAUCCCAAGCGUUGUUCGGAUUCACUGGGCGUAAAGGGUGCGUAGGUGGCUGGGUAAGUCUGAUGUGAAAUCUCCGAGCUUAACUCGGAAACUGCAUCGGAUACUAUUCGGCUGGAGGGUUGGAGGGGGGACUGGAAUUCUCGGUGUAGCAGUGAAAUGCGUAGAUAUCGAGAGGAACACCAGUGGCGAAGGCGAGUCCCUGGACAACUCCUGACACUGAGGCACGAAAGCUAGGGGAGCAAACAGGAUUAGAUACCCCCGUAGUCC
rnacentral:rRNA from 1 species